GCUUAACACAUGCAGUCGACGGGUAGGUCUCUUCGGAGAAUACACGACCGGCGCACGGGUGAGUAACGCGUAUGCAACCUACCUAUAACACAAUGAUAGCGCCCGGAAACGGGAAUUAAUACUUGAUGACAUUCAAAGAUGGCAUCAUCAAUGAAUCAAAGUUCCGGCGGUUAUAGAUGGGCAUGCGUGACAUUAGCUAGUUGGUGAGGUAGAGGCUCACCAAGGCGACGAUGUCUAGGGGGUCUGAGAGGAUGAUCCCCCACACUGGUACUGAGACACGGACCAGACUCCUACGGGAGGCAGCAGUGAGGAAUAUUGCGCAAUGGAGGAAACUCUGACGCAGCCAUCCCGCGUGCAGGAUUGACGGCCCUAUGGGUUGUAAACUGCUUUUCUAUGCCAAGAAACACCGAUACGUGUAUCGGUUUGCCGGUAGUCAUAGGAAUAAGCAUCGGCUAACUCCGAGCCAGCAGCCGCGGUAAUACGGAGGAUGCAAGCGUAAUCCGAAAUCACUGGGUUUAAAGGCGGCCCAGGCGGAAUAGUAAG
rnacentral:rRNA from 1 species